rnacentral:rRNA from 1 species
UACGAGGGGGGCUAGCGUUGCUCGGAAUCACUGGGCGUAAAGGGCGCGUAGGCGGCCAUUCAAGUCAGAGGUGAAAGCCCAAGGCUCAACCUUGGAACUGCCUUUGAUACUGUUUGGCUUGAGACCGGUAGAGGUAAGUGGAACUGCGAGUGUAGAGGUGAAAUUCGUAGAUAUUCGCAAGAACACCGGUGGCGAAGGCGGCCUUCUGGACGGAUACUGACGCUGAUACGCGAAAGCGUGGGGAGCAAACAGG